rnacentral:rRNA from 1 species
UACAGAGGUCUCAAGCGUUGUUCGGAUUCAUUGGGCGUAAAGGGUGCGUAGGUGGCGCGGUAAGUCGGGUGUGAAAUCUCGGAGCUUAACUCCGAAAUUGCAUUCGAUACUGCCGUGCUUGAGGACUGGAGAGGAGACUGGAAUUCAUGGUGUAGCAGUGAAAUGCGUAGAGAUCAUGAGGAAGACCAGUGGCGAAGGCGGGUCUCUGGGACAGUUCCUGACACUGAGGCACGAAGGCCGGGGGAGCAAACGGGG